UAUGAGACCAAGGGCCAGUCAAUGAUUAAGCUCAGAGUUCUGGGACCAAAACCAGUGUUUCAUCUUUUAUCAGAGCCAGAACUUUGUCUCAAACAAGAGCUAACCCAGGCUGAGGAUCACAUCAGAGGCCGGCUCUCCUGAGGAUCCUAGUUACCCAUCUGUAAAGCAGGAGCUGAAGGACUGGACAAGAUCUAGGCCUUGCUUAAGUCUCCAUAGCACGAGAACCUCUU